rnacentral:rRNA from 1 species
CAGGCUUAACACAUGCAAGUCGAGGGGCAGCAUGGUCUUAGCUUGCUAAGGCCGAUGGCGACCGGCGCACGGGUGAGUAACACGUAUCCAACCUGCCGUCUACUCUUGGACAGCCUUCUGAAAGGAAGAUUAAUACAAGAUGGCAUCAUGAGUCCGCAUGUUCACAUGAUUAAAGGUAUUCCGGUAGACGAUGGGGAUGCGUUCCAUUAGAUAGUAGGCGGGGUAACGGCCCACCUAGUCUUCGAUGGAUAGGGGUUCUGAGAGGAAGGUCCCCCACAUUGGAACUGAGACACGGUCCAAACUCCUACGGGAGGCAGCAGUGAGGAAUAUUGGUCAAUGGGCGAGAGCCUGAACCAGCCAAGUAGCGUGAAGGAUGACUGCCCUAUGGGUUGUAAACUUCUUUUAUAAAGGAAUAAAGUCGGGUAUGGAUACCCGUUUGCAUGUACUUUAUGAAUAAGGAUCGGCUAACUCCGUGCCAGCAGCCGCGGUAAUACGGAGGAUCCGAGCGUUAUCCGGAUUUAUUGGGUUUAAAGGGAGCGUAGAUGGAUGUUUAAGUCAGUUGUGAAAGUUUGCGGCUCAACCGUAAAAUUGCAGUUGAUACUGGAUAUCUUGAGUGCAGUUGAGGCAGGCGGAAUUCGUGGUGUAGCGGUGAAAUGCUUAGAUAUCACGAAGAACUCCGAUUGCGAAGGCAGCCUGCUAAGCUGCAACUGACAUUGAGGCUCGAAAGUGUGGGUAUCGAACAGGAUUAGAUACCCUGGUAGUCCACACGGUAAACGAUGAAUACUCGCUGUUUGCGAUAUACAGCAAGCGGCCAAGCGAAAGCGUUAAGUAUUCCACCUGGGGAGUACGCCGGCGACGGUGAAACUCAAAGGAAUUGACGGGGGCCCGCACAAGCGGAGGAACAUGUGGUUUAAUUCGAUGAUACGCGAGGAACCUUACCCGGGCUUAAAUUGCAGAUGAAUUACGGUGAAAGCCGUAAGCCGCAAGGCAUCUGUGAAGGUGCUGCAUGGUUGUCGUCAGCUCGUGCCGUGAGGUGUCGGCUUAAGUGCCAUAACGAGCGCAACCCUUGUUGUCAGUUACUAACAGGUUCCGCUGAGGACUCUGACAAGACUGCCAUCGUAAGAUGUGAGGAAGGUGGGGAUGACGUCAAAUCAGCACGGCCCUUACGUCCGGGGCUACACACGUGUUACAAUGGGGGGUACAGAGGGCCGCUACCACGCGAGUGGAUGCCAAUCCCCAAAACCUCUCUCAGUUCGGACUGGAGUCUGCAACCCGACUCCACGAAGCUGGAUUCGCUAGUAAUCGCGCAUCAGCCACGGCGCGGUGAAUACGUUCCCGGGCCUUGUACACACCGCCCGUCAAGCCAUGGGAGCCGGGGGUACCUGAAGUGCGUAACCGCGAGGAGCGCCCUAGGGUAAAACUGGUGACUGGGGCUAAGUCAUAACA